rnacentral:rRNA from 1 species
GUGGGGAAUAUUGGACAAUGGGGGGAACCCUGAUCCAGCCAUGCCGCGUGUGUGAAGAAGGCCUUUUGGUUGUAAAGCACUUUAAGCGAGGAGGAGGCUACCGAGAUUAAUACUCUUGGAUAGUGGACGUUACUCGCAGAAUAAGCACCGGCUAACUCUGUGCCAGCAGCCGCGGUAAUACAGAGGGUGCGAGCGUUAAUCGGAUUUACUGGGCGUAAAGCGUGCGUAGGCGGCUUUUUAAGUCGGAUGUGAAAUCCCCGAGCUUAACUUGGGAAUUGCAUUCGAGACUGGGAAGCUAGAGUAUGGGAGAGGAUGGUAGAAUUCCAGGUGUAGCGGUGAAAUGCGUAGAGAUCUGGAGGAAUACCGAUGGCGAAGGCAGCCAUCUGGCCUAAUACUGACGCUGAGGUACGAAAGCAUGGGGAGCAAACAGGAUUAGAUACCCUAGUAGUCC